rnacentral:rRNA from 1 species
AUGACAUUGGAUGUUCUGGAUGUGUUUGCCGCACAUAAACGUCUUGAUGCUUGCCACAAAAAUGAGGAAGAGAAUGAGCUCGUCUGCAUCGACGAACCAAGAGAUGUGUUAAUCAAGAUGCUGACAGAGGGAGAUGACAUUUCAAUGAAGCAAAACAAAAUAGUCUCCAUUGUCGGUCAUGGGGGAUUGGGCAAGACAACUCUUGCCCAAGUUGUGUACCAUCAGCUUAAACCGCAGUUUGAUUGUGGGGCUUUUGUUAGGGUCCCCCUUGAACCAGCUGACAUGGUGAAGUUUUUCACGGAGAUGUUCCAUCAACUUAUUGGCGUGGAAAAUCAUACGAACAUCAAUGAAGAAGCAAAUGAUAUAAGACAGCUCGUUUCUCAAAUUAGAGAAUUUCUUCUGAACAAGAGGUACCUGGUCGCGAUUGAUGAUUUAUGGAACGAAGAUGACUGGCAGAUCAUCUCAUCUAGCUUGACAAAUAAUGACUAUGGUAGCAGAGUAAUUACUACUACUCGUGUUAAUGACAUAGCUAAGUUAUGUUGCUCAGGCUGUGACGAGUCGAUAUAUGAAGUUCAUUAUCUUGGAUACGAAUAUUCCAGAGUGUUGUUCUUCAAGCAUUAUUUUCGCCAUGUGGCCAGUUGGCCUAAUGCACCUGGAGACAUUUUUUUGUUUGGGAUCUUGAAGAUGUGCAGUGGUACACCUUCAGCAAUAAUAAGUAUUGCUUCGUUACUCACAACCAAGGUAACCCCAACAAAGCCAUGGCAAGAGAUGAUGUAUUCUGUAUAUUUUUCUUGGAAGCAGACGCCACAUUCUUUAGGUUCUGAAUCCGAGAACAUUACUGGUUUCGAACUCUUCAGAGAGAUUAUAUCACUUAUCUAUGCUCACCUUCCCUGUGCUCUGAAGGACUGUUUGCUGUACAUGGCUGUUCAUGCUAGGAACCAAAUAAUCCAUAGGACUACUAUGGUUAGGAAAUGGAUUGCUGAAGGAUUCAUCUCUGAAAAUGUGAGGCAUAGUCGAGAGGAAGUAGCAAGCGGGUACUUUGAUGAGCUCAUCAACAGAAAUUUCAUCCGGCUGUCAGAAUAUGAUAACUAUUCAAGGGAAGAGAUGUAUGAAGUUAACCAAAUGGUACUUUAUGCUCUUAGGCAGAUAUCAGAAAAGAAAAAAUUUGCAACUGUCUUGUCUGACGUUGGUAUUUCAAGGGAAUAUGCUCAUUAUUUCCGUUUGUCAGUCCAAUGUUCUUCUGGUUCGGAACUUUCAGUUGACACGGAAGCGAUGAAACCUGAUGGCAAUAUUCGUUCCGUGACUAUUGCUGGGCCUGCAGAGUUUUAUUUAAACAAUGAUUUGGUGUAUCUACGGGUGUUAGACCUAGAUGGCUGCAAGGAUUUGGAAAACUCGGCUAUGGACCAUAUAUGCCAAAUGACCCUGUUGAAGUACUUGAGUCUCCAGCACACUCCAGUCAAGAAGAUCCCACCAGAAAUCAGGAGAUUGUGCUAG